GGGCCCGCACAAGCGGUGGAGGAUGUGGUUUAAUUCGACGCAACGCGAAGAACCUUACCUGGGCUUGACAUCCCGUGACCGCGCCAGAGAUGGCGUUUCCUCUUCGGAGGCACGGAGACAGGUGCUGCAUGGCUGUCGUCAGCUCGUGUCGUGAGAUGUUGGGUUAAGUCCCGCAACGAGCGCAACCCUUGUCCUUAGUUGCCAGCGAGUUAUGUCGGGCACUCUAGGGAGACUGCCGGUGAUAAGCCGGAGGAAGGUGGGGAUGACGUCAAGUCCUCAUGGCCUUUAUGCCCAGGGCUACACACGUCCUACAAUGGUGCCGACAAAGAGCAGCAAGCCAGCGAUGGUGAGCGAAUCUCAAAAACGGCAUCUCAGUUCGGAUUGCAGUCUGCAACUCGACUGCAUGAAGUUGGAAUCGCUAGUAAUCGCGCAACAGCAUGGCGCGGUGAAUACGUUCCCGGGCCUU
rnacentral:rRNA from 1 species